UACGUAGGGGGCUAGCGUUGUCCGGAUUUAUUGGGCGUAAAGAGCGUGUAGGCGGUCCGGUAAGUCCGCUGUGAAAGUCGGGGGCUCAACCCUCGAAUGCCGGUGGAUACUGUCGGGCUUGAGGCAGAUAGAGGGGUGUAGAAUUCCGGGUGUAGUGGUGAAAUGCGUAGAGAUCCGGAGGAAUACCAGUAGCGAAGGCGGCUCGCUGGGCCAUUCCUGACGCUGAGACGCGAAAGCUAGGGGAGCGAACAGG
rnacentral:rRNA from 1 species